rnacentral:lncRNA from 1 species
AAGGCCUCAAAAAUUGCCCAUAUUGUGUAUAUUUUUUUAUAAAAAAAAUAAUCUGAUAGACUGUCAAAUGUGUGUGAACACUUACAAACUAUUGAUGGUUGAAUCCAAUACCUUAUUAUGCAUAUUUCUUCACUAGGGAAUUAGUGAUCACUGCCCCAUCAAAAUUGACAAUUGAGUACUAGAAGAGAGCACUUAAAAAGAUGUUUCUGGAUAGAGUAAGACAAUAUAGGAAAAUCCAUGUUUGAAUAUAUGAUGCUACAAGUAAUAGACACUAAAAAUUCUAAAAUGUAGUCUGAAGGAGCUGAUUAAAGAACACUUUAAUUUUUUUGAUAGAAAGUGAAGCGAAGUAGAUGGAGAAAGAGUCCGCGAAAGUGAUGGUGGUGACGAUAGAGGAGGAGGUGGUGGUAAUGGUGGAGGAGGAGAUGAUGUUUGUGGCAGAGCAGGAAAGUUCAUCAUCUUUCAAACCUCCUCACUCAUAUGGUAGCGCUUUCCAAAUAUUUUGGGUUGGAGAGUUGUGAAUGCAAGAGAACCUUUUGGAGAAAGCGCUUUACCCCCUUUAGUAACUCUAUCCAACACAAAUCCAAAUUAGUCAGACCAAUGACUAACAGAGAAGUGAUUCCCCUGCUCUCAAAUCUGUCUAGAUACAACACUACUUGUGCACCUUUUCUCCGACCAUCCUACAAAUCACAGAUUAAGAUAAGUAUAAAGUACACUCUUGAUCAGACAAACAAAUUGAAACUGAUGAAGUACUUUUAAAAACCCCGGAGAGCUUGAUUGAGCAAUCAAAACCCAAUAUUAAAGGAUCGGAACAUAGAACUAAUAUUUAUAAGGAG